AGGCGGAGUAGGGAUUGCAGAAUUGACCAAGGAUGUAACAGCGGAGAGGAGGGCGGAGAUAGAGGUGGACAGGUCACUGGCGGUGGUUGGUUCAGGAGUCACUGAGGGAGGGGUAGGAGGGGCGGAGGUAGGAGGCUGGGUUGCAGUAGUGAGAGCGGAGAGGAGGGACGACAAAUCGGCCGGGAGGGAAGAAGACGACGAGGCAGAAGGAG